CCAGACUCCUACGGGAGGCAGCAGUGGGGAAUCUUCCGCAAUGGGCGCAAGCCUGACGGAGCAACGCCGCGUGAGUGAAGAAGGUCUUCGGAUCGUAAAGCUCUGUUGAUGGGGACGAACGUGCCUAAUGCGAAUAGUUUUAGGCAAUGACGGUACCCAUCGAGGAAGCCACGGCUAACUACGUGCCAGCAGCCGCGGUAAUACGUAGGUGGCGAGCGUUGUCCGGAAUCAUUGGGCGUAAAGGGAGCGCAGGCGGGCCGGUAAGUCUUACUUAAAAGUGCGGGGCUCAACCCCGUGAUGGGAGAGAAACUAUCGGUCUUGAGUACAGGAGAGGAAAGCGGAAUUCCCAGUGUAGCGGUGAAAUGCGUAGAUAUUGGGAAGAACACCAGUGGCGAAGGCGGCUUUCUGGACUGCAACUGACGCUGAGGCUCGAAAGCCAGGGGAGCGAACGGGAUUAGAUACCCCGGUAGUCCUGGCCGUAAACGAUGGAUACUAGGUGUGGGAGGUAUCGACCCCUACCGUGCCGGAGUUAACGCAAUAAGUAUCCCGCCUGGGGAGUACGGCCGCAAGGCUGAAACUCAAAGGAAUUGACGGGGGCCCGCACAAG
rnacentral:rRNA from 1 species